UCUCCGUUGGUGAACCAGCGGAGGGAUCAUUACAGAGUUUUUAACUCCCAAACCCUUUGUGAACUUACCUUAUUGUUGCCUCGGCGGGACCUACCCGGUACCUACCCUGUAGUUACCCUGUAGCCCGCCGGUGGACUAUUAAACUCUUGUUAUUUUAUAUGAAUCUGAGCGUCUUAUUAAAUAAGUCAAAACUUUUAACAACGGAUCUCUUGGUUCUGGCAUCGAUGAAGAACGCAGC
rnacentral:misc_RNA from 1 species